AGUAGCAAAUACUUUGGUGGCGACCGGCGCACGGGUGAGUAACGCGUAUGCAACCCAUCUAUCAGAGGGGAAUAACCCGGCGAAAGUCGGACUAAUACCGCAUAAAACAGGGGCACCGCAUGGUGAUAUUUGUUAAAGAAAUUCGCUGAUAGAUGGGCAUGCGUUCCAUUAGGUAGUUGGUGAGGUAACGGCUCACCAAGCCGACGAUGGAUAGGGGAACUGAGAGGUUGGUCCCCCACACUGGUACUGAGACACGGACCAGACUCCUACGGGAGGCAGCAGUGAGGAAUAUUGGUCAAUGGACGAGAGUCUGAACCAGCCAAGUAGCGUGAAGGAUGAAGGCCCUAUGGGUCGUAAACUUCUUUUAUAGGGGAAUAAAGUGCGGAACGUGUUCCGCUUUGUAUGUACCCUACGAAUAAGGAUCGGCUAACUCCGUGCCAGCAGCCGCGGUAAUACGGAGGAUCCGAGCGUUAUCCGGAUUUAUUGGGUUUAAAGGGAGCGUAGGUGGAUAUAUAAGUCAGUUGUGAAAGUUUGCGGCUCAACCGUAAAAUUGCAGUUGAUACUGUAUGUCUUGAGUGUACAAGAGGUGGGCGGAAUUCGUGGUGUAGCGGUGAAAUGCUUAGAUAUCACGAAGAACUCCGAUUG
rnacentral:rRNA from 1 species